UACGAAGGGGGCUAGCGUUGCUCGGAAUCACUGGGCGUAAAGGGUGCGUAGGCGGGUCUUUAAGUCAGGGGUGAAAUCCUGGAGCUCAACUCCAGAACUGCCUUUGAUACUGAGGAUCUUGAGUUCGGGAGAGGUGAGUGGAACUGCGAGUGUAGCGGUGAAAUGCGUAGAUAUCCGUAGGAACAUCCGAGGCGAAAGCGGCUCGCUGGAUCACAACUGACGCUGAGAGACGAAAGCUAGGGGAGCAAACAG
rnacentral:rRNA from 1 species